rnacentral:lncRNA from 1 species
CUGGCCUAUUCCUGUCCCUUGGAACAUGAGUAGAGCUCUGAUGGAUCAGACCAAAGGCCCAUCUAAUCCAGCAUCCUAUGCCUAAUGUAGCCAACCAAAUGCCUCUGGGAAGACAAAAAGCAGGACGCACAGCUAUCAGCACUCUUCCAAGUUGCGCUCUUCUUUUAACAGAGAAUGGAGAAAUUAGCAGGUAAUGUUUUCCACAACAUGGAGCUAAACCUGGUCAAACUGCUGCAGAUCAAAUUGCUACUGAAGAGACUACUGGGGGGGGGGGGUAGUUCAAAAAGAAGCCCCAAAAGGAGCCAACCCUGCAUCUGACCUAGCCUAGUGAAUAUAUUUAAAGGAUUCUAAUAUCAAUGAUAGCGUAAGAUGAAAAGAGCUUACAGAGAGCAAGACUGUUAAGGGCACUUAAAUAAAUUGAUUGUCUGGAAAUGCUGGAUCUGCAUGCAGGUGUAUUGAUUCACUAAGCAGCCUUCUCGAUGAAUAACCCCCUGACUCUGAACUGACUCAGCCCAUCCAGGCCUUGCACAGGGCACCAUAAUAAGAAAGAUCACCAAAGUCCACCCCUGUGGGAACUACAGCAUGCUGAGAAUUGUUAGGAGGCCCCUGAGUGGUUUAACAAUCAAUCCAUCUUCUCAGGGAUUCUGGGAAUUGUAGUUCUGGAAAUUGAGGUCUCCUAACUCUCAGUACCCUAUCCUGAUAAAUGUAUCCAAGGUAGUACAGCAGGGAAAGAGAAAGCUUUGAGAGGCUCCUGCCACUCAGAGACCCCCUAUUCCCCUCACAGAAAUAAUAAUUCUCAAAAGUGGUCAAAAAAUCAAUCCCUCUUCCCAGGGAACUCUGGGAAUUGUAGUUCUGUGCGGGGAAUUGGGGUCUUCUCACAACUCUCAGCAUCCUUAGCAUAGUUCCCAGGAUUCUUUGGGAGAAGCCACAACUGUUAAAGUGGUAUAAUAAUGCUUUAAAUGUAUGGUGUGGAUAUGGCCUAUGUUUUGCAUUGUGAUUUUUUUUUUAAACAAAAAACAAGCCUUCACUGUCAGCAUUUGCUGAAGGUUCCAAACACAUGUACACAGUAUGAGAGAAAGGGUGGGGGCUAGGAUAGCGAGAGGAAGAACAUGAUAGUCACUGUGUGAGUUUUGAAAUGUGAGGAACUUUCCUAAGUUAUCAUCACUCAUGUGGGUCCACAAGUGGCUGGACAAAUGGGGGGCAGCUUUGCCUUCAGAAAGUAUUGCUGGUCUCACGUUCCACUGCUCAAAGAGCUUGGUUCUUAUAGCUUGAUUUACAGCCGAUUUAAAAAUACUCAUUCAUGAUAUACUGCCCUAAAGAAAUUUCACUCAGGUUUGAUGAAUUGUGGAAAGUUAUUUAACAGAGCAAUCCUAUACAGGGCUAUUCAGAAGAAAGUCCCAUUGAGUUCCAUAUGGGUUUCACUCCCAGGUAGGUGGAGAGUCAACUGCACCCUUAGUUUUCUUUUAAGCAAUUCCCUUUUUAUGAGUGCAGCUACAGCAUACCGUACAUAUGCCCAUGCACUUGAUCCAUCUGGUGACCAUGCACUGAUAUAAGUAGACAGCCACAGGCAUAUCCCUGGCCUAUCUAUCUAUUGAUUGAUUGAUUGAAUGAUUGAAUUUAUAUCCCACCUUUUUCUCCAAGGAGCUCAAGGUGGUAUACAUGGUUUCCCCCCUCCCCAUUUAAUCCCCACAAGUUAGGCUGAGAGGGAGUGGUUGGCCCAGCUUCAUAACUGUGUGGAAAUUUGAACUCUUGUCUCCCAAGUCCUAGUCUGAGACUCUAACCACUACACCACACUGGCUAAAAUCUGGGUGAUCAGCUAUUUGGGUUUCAGUCCCUCUCCCUCCCCUUCACUCUCAAACAGCUGAUAAUUGAUAUUUCAGCUUUUUAAAAAAGUCUAUACAUGCAUAGUCCCAAAUACACUUUACUAGACUGGAGGUUUAAAUUUUUAGCUCUAUAUUUAGAAGAUGUUGUAUUCACAGUAGUUUUUUGUUUUUUUAACCUGACUAUAUGAAGUGGCUCUAAACAAGCUUUCCCUAACCUGGUGCCCAGGAGAUAUUUUAGACUACAAUUCCCAUCAACCCCAGCCAGUACAAGCAGGGAGUUGUAGUUGUAGUCUAAAAACAUCUGGAGGGUGCCACGUUGGUAAACAAGCUCCGCUGAUGUGACAGUGUUUGCUACAGAGGCAUUAUGAGUACAUCCCUGGUCAUAUCCUUUAUUAUCAGGGGAAAUGUUAUUCCUCUGUCUAACAGAUAAUUGGCCAUAUUUUCUACCAUGGAGAUAUCAAUUUAUUUCUAAUAGAUCUAUAAAUCAAUGCAUUCUCAAACCUUGUUCAUAAGGUUCACACAAGACCCCCUUUUCUAAUGCGUUGCAUCUAUGCCCUCAUUUGCAUUAUGACCCCAGGAGGCUAAAAGUUUUAAUUGGCAAAUCAAUUGGAUAUUUUGUUUUCUAGUUCCACCUCAAUAUAUGCUGAAUAUACAAACAUCGUCUUAAUGAUCACCCUUCUCUAAUUAUACAUGUCACAUCCAUUGUGACCUUCAAAUUGCAAAAUCUGAGCGAUCUCAUUCCAAAGUUGGAGAGAUUCCCUCCUUCUAAUACCAAAUCAUAGUUCUUCCCCAAGCAGAGCUACAUGGGUUUUAGAGCUUGAGCUCCCACCAAUAAGCUGUUGACGUCAUCACUUUGAGCUCCGGCAGCAGGUGUCCCAGAGAGACGGAGCUCAUCCGGAAUUGUAGCUAUGUUGGCACCAGAUACUUGGGACGGGACAAGCUGCCUCCAUUAGGGAAGUAUGUAACCCUCAGAUGAGGGUGAGGAGGAGAGCCAGGAGUGCUGCUAACACCAAGCAUGAUCCAGCAGCGGAGAGCAAGAGCUUGUGGCAACAAAAGCGGUGGCUUUAUAUUUUAACUUUGCAGCGUGCUCCUGUAAUGCAGAAUUAACAGUGGUGAUGCAAAUAAUGGCAUGUCCUCCUGCUGCUACAGCAUUGUCCCAAAUACAGCCACAACACGUGGCUAAUAAGUAUGGUAAAUGUUUCUGUCACACAGCAUUGUCCCAGGCAGGCCACAGUUAUUUGGCUCGUAGCUAGAGAGAACUUUUAUAAAGGAUUAGACAAAUCUAUGGAGGAUAAGGCUAUCAGUGGCUGCUAGCAGUGAUGGCUAUGUUCACCCUACAAGGUCAAAGGUGGUGUGUUUCUGGGCAUUGCAAGUGGGGAGAGUGCUAUUGUACUUAUGGCCUUCUGAGAGGCACAUCACUGGCCACUGAGAAAGGGAGACUGGUCUAGAGACUGGGCUUUUAGCCUGAGCCAUCAGGCCUCUUCUUGUAUUUUACCCCAGACCCUAAUUACAGGGAAAACUAAACAGGCAGGAUUUCUCUCUGUGGACGAGAAGCUGAAAGGCCAGUAUGACUUGUGUAUUUAUUUUUGCAUUCAUGCAUAAGCUACUAUUUAUAGAUCAGCCUAUAAUGGAGGUUUUCUGGAUAGACUUACAAAGAUAAGAAUGAGUUAAAAUAAACACAAUUACAAUAAAGAUACAAUAAAACACAGCAAGCAAAAACAAUACUAUAGCAUCAGAAAGACCACUUUAAAAAAAACAGAACAGAGGGUCACCACAGAUUAAGUAAGUUAAAAACACUAAACAACUUCACAAAGGGAAAUUUGUGGUAAACUACUGCAUACGUUUAAAGGCCUGGGUAAAUAGAAAAGAUAUUUUCCUUGUGCCAGAAAUCCAUCAGUGUAGGUGCCCGGUGAAGGGACUGCAUUUCACAGCCAUGAGGCCAUUGCUGAAAAGGCCUCUUCACAUCUGGUCACCUGCUGCUCAAAGGGGCACUUGGAGAAUGGCUUCAAGACAUAGAUAGGUAGGCACAUGGGAGAAGGGGCAAUGCUUCAAGAGCUCAAACUGUGAAAGGCUUUAAAGAUAAAUGUCAACACUUAAUUAGAACCAGUAUCCAGUAUCGGUGGCUUAAUAUCCCCAUAAUGCCCAGCCUCUUUCAGUGCAGUAGCAGAAGUAUUGUGUACCCUUCCCAGCCUAUAUUUGUUAAGAUCUUCUGGAUCCAAUGAUGUUUUUUCUGGAGUGAUCACACUACCACCUCCUUUAAGGAGCAUAGAACCAUAGCAUCUUUUAAUGACAUAUUCCCCACCUCCUGGACCAGCCAAGCUAUCCUUUCCUUGCUAGAUGCAAUGAGCGGGGGGGGGGGGUGCGUCCAAGCAUACCUGUGGAUGGUUGGGCUUCUACAAACACUUUUUCCACAUCCUCAGGUCCUAAGAACUGAAAAUCAUCCAGCAAAAAAAAACCAGACAACGCCACUCACACCUCCACUGAUUGGAAUUAAAUAUGGAGUCCAAAUUGUGACAGAUACAAAUGCUAUUUCCUACUGUGUCGUAUUUUAAAAGACCACAGACCACUCAGAAAAGCUCCGCAGUGACAUUCGGCAGACAAUGAUGGUGGAGAACAACAGCUUUUUCGAUGCCAUUGCCACUAGAGCCAAAGCAGUCGUGAUUUGUUUCUGGUUGGACUGGAAGUUUUGUGAGUGGGAGGGAGAGAGGGAAUAUUCUAGAAUGCAUCUCAUUCCAGUUCUGAAUCAAGCAGCAUUACCUUCUGUCAUAGGCAUAUAGAAGUGUUUCACAUUACCUCUGAUGUAGCUUCACUCCUCAGCUCCUACCAUCAGAAGACUUGGAAAUUUGUCAGCUAAGCUUAAUGUUACACUACAGUUUACCUUAACUGUUGGGUGUUUGCCGACUUCCCGUAAUAACAGCAUCUGCCACUGAUUAAUUAGGUGUUGCUUUUCUCACCAGUCUUCAGGACAGCCAUGAGGUGAAUUACUGUUCAGGGUUUGAAGAAAACACCUCAGAAACUGAG